rnacentral:tRNA from 1 species
GGGGCUGUGGCUCAGUGGUAGAGCAUCUUCCUUGCAUGCAGAAGGUCCUAAGUUCAACUCCUGGCAUCUCUCA